UGUGGCGAAUUCUUCUUGCAUGUGUCCGUGAUCAUGGUGGAACUAUCGGACACUUGCGUCUGCAAAACGCCCUGAUCCUGGUUGCAUUAAGAACCACAGGGCGAGGAACAGACAUUAAAAGAAGACUGUGAAGAAAGAGGAGGAGGAGGAGGAGGCACGGAGACGAAGAUGGUGCUGGUGGGGGGGGGGGGGGGGUUAUUCAAGCUUGUGAAAUGUUCCUCAGGCCUACGAGAGCCGAUUGCAUGAGCCGUGGUAACGUGGUAUGAUUUGCAUGCAGCAGACACGCUAAUUGUGUGUUUGCUAACAUACAACAUUCAGCGAGACGCUCUCCAGUCUGCAGACGGGGUUCACACACGCCUUCCAGACGUCCCGGAGGCCUCCUAUUGUUCCAGAGGCCCAGUGGAGCAGCCGGCGAGCCCAGCCGGGGUGCUGCAGUGCGAGGAGAGGGGGCAAUUUGAAUUAGAGACCGGGCAGAUGGGAUAGCGUAUCGGGACAGCUUCCCCUCGCAGUCCCGGAGUUACAGCUCCUGUGUUUUUUCCCUCUACAGGAAAAAAGAUGUCGUAGAAAGAUUCCUGCCUCCGUACACUGACCGUCCAAGCCUCGCAGAUGUGUAAGUGAUGUUGGGUGAAGUCUGAAAACCAGAUGCAAUCCUGUACAGAUGCAGAGAGACAAAAGCCUGGAGAUGAAGACGGAAGAUGUGGAGAUUCGAAAACCACUCAGAGCAUCUGUUAACGGGUGAUGUCAUAAUAGAAGUGGUGAAGUCCACACAUCAUAUAAUUGCUUUGUAUCACUAAUGUGUUCACACUGUAUCAUUUAGGGUGUUUUCAACCCUUCAACAGAACACAAACUAUGAUUUUUAGAAGGAUAUUUCAGCUCUGUAGGUCCAUACAAUGCAAGUGAAUGGUGGCAAAAAAAAAAUAA